UACGUAGGGGGCGAGCGUUGUCCGAAGUUACUGGGCGUAAAGCGCGCGUAGGCGGGCUGUUAAGUGAGAGGUGAAAGGCUGGGGCUCAACCCCAUGCAGUGCCUCUCAUACUGGCGGUCUUGAGGGUGGCAGGGAGAAGUGGAAUGGCUGGUGUAGCGGUGAAAUGCGUAGAUAUCAGUCGGAACACCUGUGGCGAAGGCGGCUUCUUGGGCCAUUUUCCUGACGCUGAGGCGCGAAAGCCAGGG
rnacentral:rRNA from 1 species